AGCGUAGACGGCGACGCAAGUCUGAAGUGAAAUACCCGGGCUCAACCUGGGAACUGCUUUGGAAACUGUGUUGCUAGAGUGCUGGAGAGGUAAGCGGAAUUCCUAGUGUAGCGGUGAAAUGCGUAGAUAUUAGGAAGAACACCAGUGGCGAAGGCGGCUUACUGGACAGUAACUGACGUUGAGGCUCGAAAGCGUGGGGAGCAAACA
rnacentral:rRNA from 1 species